rnacentral:rRNA from 1 species
UACGAAGGGGGCUAGCGUUGUUCGGAAUUACUGGGCGUAAAGCGUGCGCAGGCGGCUGCUCAAGUCAGGGGUGAAAGCCCAGAGCUCAACUCUGGAAUUGCCUUUGAGACUGAGUGGCUUGAGUACGGGAGAGGUGAGUGGAAUUCCCAGUGUAGAGGUGAAAUUCGUAGAUAUUCGGAAGAACACCAGUGGCGAAGGCGACUUACUGGACACAUAUUGACGCUGAGGUGCGAAAGCGUGGGGAGCAAACAGGG